rnacentral:lncRNA from 1 species
GCAAACAGGGUGGCAGGUCACACAGGUGGGCAGGUCCCAAAGGACAGGGCACACAGAGGAGCAGGUUACACAGAGGAGCAGGUCACACAGGCAAGCAGAUCACUCAGGGGACAGGUCACACAGGCGGACAGGACACACAGGUGGGCAAGUCACACAGAGGGGCAGGUCACAUAGGCAGACAGGUAACACAGGUGGGCUCAUCCUACAGGGGACAGGUCACACAAGCAAGCAGAUCACACAGGAGGACAGGUCACACAGGUGGGCAGGUCAAACAAGUGGGCAGGUCACACAGGAAGGCAGGUCACACAGGAAGGCAGAUCACACAGGCAGACAGGUCACACAGGAAAGCUGGUCACACAAGCCAGCAUAUCACACAAGGGACAGGUCACACAGUUGGGCACGUCACACAGUUGGGCAGGUCCCACAGGCAAUUUGUUACACAGGCAAGCAGAUCACACAGAAGGAAAGGUCACACAGGUGGGCAGGUCACACUCGUCAGGUCACACAGGUGGGUAGGUCACACAGCUGGGCAGGUCACACAGAGGGACAGGUCACACAAAGGAGCAGUUCACCCAGGCAAGCAGGUCACAAACGCAAGCAGAUCACUCAGGGGCCAGAUCACAAAGGUGGACAGGACACACAGGUGGGCAGGCCACUCAGGAGGACAGGUCACACAGGAAGGCAGGUUACACAGAGGGGAAGGUCACUUAGGCAGAAAGGUCACACUGGUGGGCAGAUAACACAGGCAGACAGGUCACACAGGUGGGCAGGUCACACAGGGGACUGGUUACACAGAGGAGCAGGUCACACAGGUAGGCAGGUCACAUAGGAGAACAGGUCAAACAGAUGGGCAGGUCACACAGGCAUGCAGAUUUCACAGGGGACAGGUCACACAGGCAAGCAGAUCACACAGGGAACAGGUCAUACAGGUGAGCAGGUCCCACAGGGACAGGUCACACAGAGGAGCAGGUCACACAGACGGGCAAAUCACACAAAGUAGCAGGUCACACAAGCAAGCUGGUCACACAGGAGAGAGGUCACACAAGGUGGGCAGGUCAUACAGGGGAGAGGUCACACAAGUUGGGCAGGUCAUACAGGGGAGAGAGGUCACACAGGUUGGCAGGUCACACAGGCCGACAGGUAACACAGGUGGGCAGGUCACACAGGCAUGCAGAUUUCACAGGGGACAGGUCACACAGGCAAGCAGAUCACACAGAGGAGCAGGUCACAUAGGCAGACAGGUCACACAUGGGACAGGUCACACAGGAGGAUAAGUCACACAGCUGGGCAGAUCUCAGAGGUAGGCAGGUCACACAGGCAGGAAGGUCAUACAGGUGGGCAGGUCACACAGGCAGACAGGUCACACAGGUGGGCAGGUCACACAAAGUGGCAAGUUACAGAUGGACAGGUCACACAGUUGAGCAGGUCACAGAGGGCAGGUCACACAGGUGAGCAGGUCACACAGGUUGGCAGGUCACACAGAUGGGAGGUCACACAGGUAGGCAGUUCACACAGGUGGGCAGGUCAUGUGUGCCUUCUGUGAGCAGUGGGUUUAAGCUGGUGAGUGUAGUAACAGAGGAGUUCCAGAAUGAUUAGUAAAGUGGAUCAUAGGAGAAGCAGCCUUGUAGGAGAACCAAAUGGACAUGGUGAUCUAAGAUGACAAGGGACAGGCACCACAUAUAGACAUCUGUUAAGGGAUAGUGUUAGAAUUCCAGCUUCUUCAGUGUCCCCAUCAAAAAUCAUGCAUUUGACUUAGGCUAACUACUUGAACACUGUAAACCUGCCCGACCAGACCUAACUAGAUGAACACUGUAAACCUGCCCAACCAGACCUAACUAGAUGAACACUGUAAACCUUUCCGACCAGACCUGCUGAUGCCCUGGGCCAUCAUCAGAUGGAACUCUGUCCAGCUCCAGUCAAAAAUAGGAGAAUGAAGAGCACUUUCCCACUUACCUGGGAAAAUCAAAGCUGCCACGUGCUGCUUCCAUCAGCUCAGAGAAUACAGCAAGAUUCAAUUCAGCAGCAACAGGGGAAGAUGAGCAAAGGGACGAGGCCUCUCCCAGGAUCUGGAUGUUUCUGCUGGCAAGCCCCAGGGACCCUCCUUGUUUCACCUCCCCAGGACUGAGGUUAUAGGUGACAAAAAAACGAGCCACCACACCUUGGUCAUGUCAUCUUACAUCUACAGAGCGAUGCAUUCUUUUACACUAUGACGGUGGCUCUGGUUACUGUAAAGUUGACCUAAACAGCAACCAGCAUUGAUGCGGGACUGUUGCCUAGAGCACAGGAUCUGUGCAGGGUGUUGCAAUAAUCCUCAGAGUGGGAAACACAAGACAGAACGUGGAUCAUUUCAAGAGAUUUGAAGCAAUGAGGAAAUGAGAAGAAAAAACAGGAAGAUGGAGAGGGAGAGAGAGAGAGAAGGAAAGGGGAUACUUCAGGCUACCCUCGAUCAAACCAGAGCUCCACCUAGACAGAAGGGCAUUUCCAGGACUUCAUAGACAAGCCCCAAACUCAGCCUCAGGGAGCCCAGACCUGUUAAACUAGUGAUCUAAUUCAUAUCUCUGACUUAUAUGCAAAUGUACCUAGGAAGCCUGCAUCCAGUACAAAGAAUAUGCGCCAAUUUAAAAGAAGACAAUACAAAACCAAAUGUUCUUCAGCGUAAGAAGACUCAGAACGCCUGUGACGUAACUACUGUGUGGAAGGAUGUGAGCUUGUGCCCCUCAAGCUGAGGUCAGACUCCGUGACCUCCAACACUUCCCCUGCCUCUUCUCCAUGUUCCCCUCCUCCCAGCGGCCAAGCGCUCCCCCCCCCCCAAGUUCCCAAACAGUCUCUCCCCCAGAAGCUGCCCUUCCGACCUUCCUAGGCCUGCCACCAGGACUCCUUUGUUCCUUUGUCUGUACCGAGUCAUUUUAUCUCAAGGCUAAAGGAUUCAAAACAAAUGGUAUAUCAUUGUACUGUUGGUUACACUGAGAUACUGAUAAGGGAAAAUGGUAGAAACAGACACUAUGUUCUAAACUUCCUGUGAAAACACCCAUGACCUCACCUAACUCUUUACAGCAGCGGAAAGUUCCAUGCCAAGCCGCUUCCCACCUAAACUGGCUUAUUCAAAAUAUCAGCAAAGAUGUCUUUGGUAAAAAUAGUGUUGAUGCAGAAAUCACCCUUUGUAAGUAUUCGCCACAUAAAUACAGACUUGGAGGUAUCUACAUUUCUUGAAGAGUUGAAGUCUUGGGGAAGAGGUGCCUGAGUGUUUUCAACUAUUUCUUGUCCCCUUUGUCCCUUGUAUGACUACAUCAUUGUACAGUUGAAGAAUAAAAACGGGGCACUGUGGUAAUUGAAUGAAGGACGCCAACUUGUGUUUAUAGUUUUAAAUAAGAGGAAAUGAUCCAUCGGUGACUUUGAAAGGAAAUAAAACUGUAAUUCAUGUAAUGUAUGUUAAAUAGCCCAAAGAGUUGUUUCUGAGCUUUGA